rnacentral:rRNA from 1 species
AGAGUUUGAUCCUGGCUCAGAUUGAACGCUGGCGGCAUGCCUUACACAUGCAAGUCGAACGGUAACAGGUCUUCGGAUGCUGACGAGUGGCGAACGGGUGAGUAAUACAUCGGAACGUGCCCGAUCGUGGGGGAUAACGAGGCGAAAGCUUUGCUAAUACCGCAUACGAUCUACGGAUGAAAGCGGGGGAUCUUCGGACCUCGCGCGGACGGAGCGGCCGAUGGCAGAUUAGGUAGUUGGUGGGAUAAAAGCUUACCAAGCCGACGAUCUGUAGCUGGUCUGAGAGGAUGAUCAGCCACACUGGGACUGAGACACGGCCCAGACUCCUACGGGAGGCAGCAGUGGGGAAUUUUGGACAAUGGGCGAAAGCCUGAUCCAGCCAUGCCGCGUGCAGGAUGAAGGCCUUCGGGUUGUAAACUGCUUUUGUACGGAACGAAAAGCCUCUUUCU